rnacentral:rRNA from 1 species
UGUCGCGUCUGCUGUGAAAACCUAAGGCUCAACCUUGGGCUUGCAGUGGGUACGGGCAGACUAGAGUGCGGUAGGGGUGAC